GUCCACGCUGUAAACGUUGAUAACUCGUUGUUGGCGAUAUACUGUCAGCGACUAAGCGAAAGUGAUAAGUUAUCCACCUGGGGAGUACGUUCGCAAGAAUGAAACUCAAAGGAAUUGACGGGGGCCCGCACAAGCGGAGGAGCAUGUGGUUUAAUUCGAUGAUACGCGAGGAACCUUACCUGGGCUUGAAAGUUAGCGACUGAGUGUGAAAGCAUUCAUCCCCUUCGGGGCGCGAAACUAGGUGCUGCAUGGCUGUCGU
rnacentral:rRNA from 1 species